UACAGAGGGGGCAAGCGUUGUUCGGAAUUACUGGGCGUAAAGGGCGCGUAGGCGGCCUUCUAAGUCGAACGUGAAAUCCCCGGGCUCAACCCGGGAACUGCGUCCGAUACUGGGAGGCUUGAAUCCGGGAGAGGGAUGCGGAAUUCCAGGUGUAGCGGUGAAAUGCGUAGAUAUCUGGAGGAACACCGGUGGCGAAGGCGGCAUCCUGGACCAAUAUUGACGCUGAGGAGCGAAAGCCAGGGGAGCAAACGGG
rnacentral:rRNA from 1 species